CCUACGGGUGGCAGCAGUGGGGAAUAUUGCACAAUGGGGGAAACCCUGAUGCAGCGACGCCGCGUGAGUAAAGACGUAUUUCGGUACGUAAAGCUCUAUCAGCAGGGAAGAAAAUGACGGUACCUGACUAAGAAGCACCGGCUAACUCCGUGCCAGCAGCCGCGGUAAUACGGCGGGUGCGAGCGUUAAUCGGAAUUACUGGGCGUUAAGCGCUCGUAGGCGGUAUGUCAAGUCAAGGGUGAAAUCCCCGCGCUCAACGUGGGAACUGCCUUUGAAACUGGCACACUGGAGUGUGGUAGAGGAUAGUGGAAUUCCAGGUGUAGGGGUGAAAUCCGUAGAUAUCUGGAGGAACAUCAGUGGCGAAGGCGACUAUCUGGCACAUAACUGACGCUGAGGAGCGAAAGCGUGGGUAGCAAACAGGAUUAGAUACCCUAGUAGUC
rnacentral:rRNA from 1 species